CUGGUAUCUUUCAUCCCUCUUUUCUAAAAAUAAUGUGCCUUCAUGAUUAAACAGAGGAACACAAAAAUUAGCAUUUGGUCUAUUUUUAUACCCAUAAAAUGUAACUUGUAUAAGUUCUUUUGUUGAACAGCUGACAUAUUUAGAAAUUCAAAUAGUGGAACAAAUUGAUCACAAUUUUGAUACUGUGGUUUUCAGAGGUUCUAAUGCUUUAAUGCCUGUAUACAAAAUCAUACCAUGUGAAGGCAUAUCAAUUUCUUUCUAACCUGCCCUUUAUUGUAGGUUGCAGGGUCUAGAAGUUAAGAUGAUCAUAUUAAGAGUUUUCUGAAUGUCUGUAUCAAUCUGCUCAGCUCUUCAUCAAAAUUGCAUAUUUUGACUUUGUGAUGUCAAAUACUUAACUUGGCCUAAUUAACUUUGACCUGCUGUAUCACUGAUGUCAUCAUGAACAAAUCAAUUUUGAUAAGUUAGACUGUAACUUAUGAUGUUAUCUUCUAAUAUGAUGUUGAAACAACGAAAAACUUGUUUCAAUCAUGCAAAAUACACAAAUAAAAUCCUAUAAAUAGAUUCUGACAUUUAAGAUAUUUAUAUAUUUUAAAAUAUCAUCUGUAGCAACAAUAUGAAGCUUUUAGAACUCAUAAUCUCAUUCACUGCGCUCAUUUUACAAAAUGCUUCAUAUUGUGACUUGCCGCUAAUAUUUUACCAUAUCAGUAUGCAGACUACCUGAUAAUCAGUCCUUACCUUGCCAUUUUUAUCAACCCCUAAAAAACGUUGAUUCUAGUGCUUACUUAAAUUUCACUUUCUUUACAAUAAAAUAAGUUUUCACAAAACCAUUUAUAAACUCAUCAUAGAUACCAGAAUUAAAAUUGGGUAUGCCAGACAAACGUUAUGUCUUAGACAGAGCAUUGAGAACCCACAGUUCACAAAGGUUUUGACAAAUACAGCUAUGGUAGUCUAUUCCUGCAUGGGGUAGAAAAUCAUUAGUUAUAAAAAGAGUCCAAAAACUUGUUAACAGUUAACUGAUAUUAUUAUGACCAUAUCAAUGAUAAUUUAUGUCAAAACAGAAGUGCUGACUACUGGGCUGGUCUUAAAAUUUAUAUUUUUUUUAAAAGCAGAAACCAACUCACUGUAAACCAAUUUUCUUGCAACAAUAAGAUUUGAAUUAUCCAAAUCUAUUUUAAAGAUUAUCAGGUGUUGAAAUCAAUAUUAUUCUUGUGAAACAAAUUCAUUUUUGUGACUUUAUCUUUAUAGAUGAACUUGAGAACCAACUUAGAAAUUUGAGUUUCAAGACCUGGAAUUUUUUCAAAUACAGUAAAACUUGCCUUAAGGUAUAAAACAUGUAUAAAGAAACACUUGUGUUAUAAAACCAUUAAAUUUAGAUCCCUCUGUAGUAAAUUUUAUGUUAAUUUAACCUGUCUUAUGAAACCAGUUUUUGCUCUCCCUUAAUUGGUUUCAAAAAAUGUGUUUCACUGCAGUUGAAUAUUACCUCAUUCAAAUCCAUUGAGCAAGAAGAUUGGUAAACACUUCUUAUAUUUAUGUUGUAAAUGGAAAUCAUUUUAAAGUGGAGCAUGCUAUUAAAUAAAGGCAACUACUGAUAUUGGGGGAGACCAUAUAUGUUUACCUUUUAAUUUUCUUUUUUGAAAAGGUUUUAAUUGUUUGGUUGAAGUCUCUUUUCAAAUGUUACAAAUGUUAUAUUACAAGUUACUUAAGCCUCUUGUUUAUUUUUCCUAUAACAUGUAUUCAUAAUCUUUUUAUAAAUUCUGUUAAUGCUAAUAUUUGUUAUUUCCUUGAUUUAUUAAAAUUAUUGGACCAUAAAAAGAUUAUAUUAAUAUUCAUAUAACAUCCUGAUUAUGAUAUAAUAUAUAUAAGAUUGCACAAGAUUUAAAUUAUCCAAGCGUAAAUCUUUUACGUUAAGAAAUUCUUAAAGGUAAAUAUUACAGAUUUCUUAUUUAUAUACAUCAUAAUAUUCUAUAUUUAGAUAUAAAUUACAAGCAAUGGUAUUUAGAUUACGUGCGUUUUCAAAUAGAUUUUCCAUCAUACUGCAAUUUUCUAUAUAAUUUCGAAAUUGGAUGAUUAUGCAAUUUUUCUCCGGAACAGCUGGUGUACUUUUACAAGUAGUUCAGCAGUCAGGUAAUGAAGUAUAUGUAAAUCAGUCAACUGAAAAAUUGCUUAAGGAUGUCAAGGUUCUUAAGAAAUGUAACAUUUUUCAGUGAAGUUUUUCUUCUGAUUAUGGAUAAAAAAAAAUUAAAAAAAUCAGAAAUGACCAUUGCCCAUUCAUGCUUAGCAAUAAUAUAUUAUGUUUAGAUUUAAGGAC
rnacentral:lncRNA from 1 species